CCUACGGGUGGCUGCAGUGGGGAAUUUUGGACAAUGGGCGAAAGCCUGAUCCAGCCAUGCCGCGUGCGGGAAGAAGGCCUUCGGGUUGUAAACCGCUUUUGUCAGGGAAGAAAAGCGCCAGGCUAAUACCUUGGCGUCAUGACGGUACCUGAAGAAUAAGCACCGGCUACCUACGUGCCAGCAGCCGCGGUAAUACGUAGGGUGCAAGCGUUAAUCGGAAUUACUGGGCGUAAUCCGGCAACAGGGGGGUGAAAUCCCCGGGCUCAACCUGGGAACUGCAUUUGUGACUGCACGGCUUGAGUGCGGCAGAGGGGAAUGGAAUUCCGCAUGUAGCAGUGAAAUGCGUAGAUAUGCGGAGGAACACCGAUGGCGAAGGCAAUUCCCUGGGCCUGCACUGACGCUCAUGCACGAAAGCGUGGGGAGCAAACAGGAUUAGAUACCCCGGUAGUC
rnacentral:rRNA from 1 species